AGGCGAGGAAUCCUGGAACGGUUCUUCACCCAAAGGGCAUUGGAAACAUGCUUUCUCUGUCGCCUGGGGAUGGGGCCGCGACCGAUCAGGUUGUUGGUGAGGUAAUGGCUCACCAAGCCUUUAACCGGUACGGGCCAUGAGAGUGGUAGCCCGGAGAUGGGUACUGAGACAAGGACCCAGGCCCUACGGGGCGCAGCAGUCGCGAAAACUCCGCAAUGCACGAAAGUGUGACGGGGCUACCCCGAGUGCCGUCCGCUGAGGAUGGCUUUUCCUUGGUGUAACUAGCCGGGGGAAUAAGGAGAGGGCAAGACUGGUGUCAGCCGCCGCGGUAAUACCAGCUCUCCGAGUGGUAGGGAUGAUUAUUGGGCUUAAAGCGUCCGUAGCCGGCUUAGCAAGUUUCCUGUUAAAUUCAGCGACCUAAUCGUUGAGCCGCGGGAAAUACUACUAGGCUAGGAGGCGGGAGAGGUCGACGGUACUUCUGGGGUAGGGGUGAAAUCCUAUAAUCCCGGGAGGACCACCAGUGGCGAAGGCUGUCGACUAGAACGCGCUCGACGGUGAGGGACGAAAGCUGGGGGAGCGAACCGGAUUAGAUACCCGGGUAGUCCCAGCUGUAAACGAUGCGGGCUAGGUGUUGGGGUGGCUACGUGCCACUUCAGUGCC
rnacentral:rRNA from 1 species